rnacentral:rRNA from 1 species
GGACCAAUAUGUCGGUCGUGCCUCGGUACGUACUGGCAUCGUUGGUUUCUCCCUUCUGAAGAACCAUGAUGUCAUUUAUUUGGUGUCGUGGGGAAUCAGGACUGUUACUUUGAAAAAAUUAGAGUGUUUAAAGCAGGCUCACGCUUGAAUACAUUAGCAUGGGAAUAAUGAAAUAGGACGUUUGAUUCUAUUUUGUUGGUUUCUAGGAUUGACGUAAUGAUUAAUAGGGAUAGUUGGG